UCUUCUGAGCGUGUGUUGCCUCAGCACGUUUACUGAGCGUGUCUUCUGAGCGUGUGUUGCCUGAGCGUGUCUUCUAACCGUGUGUUGACAUGAGUUUAUAUUCCCUUAUUUUUGACCCAAAUGGCCCAAAUGGCCCUCCAUAGAUAUGAGCGUCAACAGGCUGAGUUUCACUCAAAGUUUCAGACCGUUCCCACAACGUUGUAAAAAUCAGAACCCAAAAAUUAACCCCAAAAUUGAAAAUUGUUGGAACAGAUCUGCUUGUGCUGAACUUAAACGGUGCUUGUGCUUGAACAGAUCUGUGCUUUUCCUGAGUGAGACCGUUCCAACAAUUUUUAUUUUUCCAUUUUUCCUUUUCUCAACACCUCUACUGUUCCCUUCUCACCACCUCAUCAUCUGACCAUCUGACCUAGAACCCUCCUAGAACCACCUCUGACCACCAACAAGGAGUUACUUUUAGAAUGUAGAAUGAGAUUGCAUAGUGUUGUGAAUUGCAUAGUGUUGUGAAAUUAAUUCAAUAUGUAACAUGUAACUUCUAUACAUUUUGUUUGUCAGCUGUCUACGUGAGGGGAAAUUCCGUGGAAUUUCCCUAUUAUAAUUGAUUAUUUUUAAACUAUUUCAUCAUCAGCCCAGUGCUUACAAUCGGAGCCAGGUAUUUAUAGCUCCACUUCUUAACAAACGCAAGAUUAGAAAGAGCAGAGCUAGCUUGGCGUAUUCCGUGCCACUUGCAACAACCUACAGAUAAACACCAAUGGUACUCUUGUAAACACGUCGGGCACAGCAGUAUGAAAGUGGACAUAAGCAAGGUGGUAUCUGGUAUCUAUGGUAUCUGGUAUCUACAGCCAACUGCCAUCAUACUGAGACUGUCAAGAAUGUCAAGAAUUGGAAAAAAAGAGAAGGAUUGUUAUUGCAGAAGGAUAGGAGAAGCUCUAGUAGCUCAAAGAUAUUAAGAAAGCAAUUCUAUCGAAAGACACCUUGCGAUGUCCUAGACUGAAAAGGAACAGAAUUCAAACCCAGAUUUAUUUGCAACUCCAGCUUAUUUAAUUGUGUGCAUUUGUGUGUGUGUGUGUGUGCAUUUAUGUGUGUGUGU